GUUUGUUUCUUUGUUCAUUAAAGAGAUAGGCAUAGAUAGAAAAAGGAGAGACUUUCUCACAGAAAGCCUCCUAAGAAUAUUCACAAUUUUCUUUUGCUUCUUGCUGCUCAGUUGCUGUCUCCAAAUCACAUACACUUUUCCUUUUCUCUAAAUAAAUUUUCUUUUUGAUCUUGUUUUCCCGGAAAACUUUCUCGGUCAUAACUGUUUUUUAUCCAAGGAUCAGCAUAUCUCGCGGGAACCAAUCACACACGCAUCGUUAAUUCUUUGUCGUCGUCGUCGUCUUUUCUAUUUCCCUUUUUGUUUCUGUGGGUUUCUUCCAAGGCAAACACCUGCAGAAGCUAUAUUACGUGUAAAAGA
rnacentral:misc_RNA from 1 species